rnacentral:rRNA from 1 species
AUGAUCGAAAUGAAUUGUGCGCCGUUCCUUCCAUCCCUUCUCCUCCUCAGCCUUACCUUGGCAACCAUUGCCACCUGCAAUGACCAAUUCUUCUUCUCUGGCUUUACACAAUCUAACCUAACCCUGGAUGGUAGUGUCGUGGUCACACAAGACGGCCUCCUCGAUAUGUCCAACGGCACGAACAAUGUCAAAGGUCAUGCUCUUUACCCCACUCCUUUGCGCUUCCGCGAUUCAUCUACCGGGAAAGUGCAAUCAUUCUCGGUCACCAUCAUUUUUUGUAUCGUCAAUACAUACCCUGGCGUGGCUGCUAAUGGGGUGGCCUUCUUCAUUGCCCCAAGCAAGAAUUUCUCAGAUGCACUGCCCGCGCAAUACUUUGGGAUCCUGAAACAGAAGAGCAAUGACAGCCUCUUGGUAAUUGAGGUUGACACCUUCUAG